rnacentral:rRNA from 1 species
UUAAGUUAAUAAGGGCGCACGGUGGAUGCCUUGGCACUAGGAGUCGAUGAAGGACGGGACUAACGCCGAUAUGCUUCGGGGAGCUGUAAGUAAGCUUUGAUCCGAAGAUUUCCGAAUGGGGAAACCCACCAUACGUAAUGGUAUGGUAUCCUUAUCUGAAUACAUAGGGUAAGGAAGACAGACCCAGGGAACUGAAACAUCUAAGUACCUGGAGGAAGAGAAAGCAAAUGCGAUUUCCUGAGUAGCGGCGAGCGAAACGGAACAUAGCCCAAACCAAGAGGCUUGCCUCUUGGGGUUGUAGGACAUUCUAUACGGAGUUACAAAGGAACGAGGUAGACGAAGCGACCUGGAAAGGUCCGUCGUAGAGGGUAACAACCCCGUAGUCGAAACUUCGUUCUCUCUUGAAUGUAUCCUGAGUACGGCGGAACACGUGAAAUUCCGUCGGAAUCUGGGAGGACCAUCUCCCAAGGCUAAAUACUCCCUAGUGAUCGAUAGUGAACCAGUACCGUGAGGGAAAGGUGAAAAGCACCCCGGAAGGGGAGUGAAAGAGAUCCUGAAACCGUGUGCCUACAAAUAGUCAGAGCCCGUUAACGGGUGAUGGCGUGCCUUUUGUAGAAUGAACCGGCGAGUUACGAUCCCGUGCGAGGUUAAGCUGAAGAGGCGGAGCCGCAGCGAAAGCGAGUCUGAAUAGGGCGUUUAGUACGUGGUCGUAGACCCGAAACCAGGUGAUCUACCCAUGUCCAGGGUGAAGUUCAGGUAACACUGAAUGGAGGCCCGAACCCACGCACGUUGAAAAGUGCGGGGAUGAGGUGUGGGUAGCGGAGAAAUUCCAAUCGAACCUGGAGAUAGCUGGUUCUCCCCGAAAUAGCUUUAGGGCUAGCCUUAAGUGUAAGAGUCUUGGAGGUAGAGCACUGAUUGGACUAGGGGUCCUCAUCGGAUUACCGAAUUCAGUCAAACUCCGAAUGCCAAUGACUUAUCCUUAGGAGUCAGACUGCGAGUGAUAAGAUCCGUAGUCAAAAGGGAAACAGCCCAGACCGCCAGCUAAGGUCCCAAAGUGUGUAUUAAGUGGAAAAGGAUGUGGAGUUGCUUAGACAACUAGGAUGUUGGCUUAGAAGCAGCCACCAUUUAAAGAGUGCGUAAUAGCUCACUAGUCGAGUGACUCUGCGCCGAAAAUGUACCGGGGCUAAAUACACCACCGAAGCUGCGGAUUGAUACCAAUGGUAUCAGUGGUAGGGGAGCGUUCUAAGGACAGUGAAGUCAGACCGGAAGGACUGGUGGAGUGCUUAGAAGUGAGAAUGCCGGUAUGAGUAGCGAAAGACGGGUGAGAAUCCCGUCCACCGAAUGCCUAAGGUUUCCUGAGGAAGGCUCGUCCGCUCAGGGUUAGUCAGGACCUAAGCCGAGGCCGACAGGCGUAGGCGAUGGACAACAGGUUGAUAUUCCUGUACCACCUCUUUAUCGUUUGAGCAAUGGAGGGACGCAGAAGGAUAGAAGAAGCGUGCGAUUGGUUGUGCACGUCCAAGCAGUUAGGCUGAUAAGUAGGCAAAUCCGCUUAUCGUAAAGGCUGAGCUGUGAUGGGGAAGCUCCUUAUGGAGCGAAGUCUUUGAUUCCCCGCUGCCAAGAAAAGCUUCUAGCGAGAUAAAAGGUGCCUGUACCGCAAACCGACACAGGUAGGCGAGGAGAGAAUCCUAAGGUGUGCGAGAGAACUCUGGUUAAGGAACUCGGCAAAAUGACCCCGUAACUUCGGGAGAAGGGGUGCUUUCUUAACGGAAAGCCGCAGUGAAUAGGCCCAAGCGACUGUUUAGCAAAAACACAGCUCUCUGCGAAGCCGUAAGGCGAAGUAUAGGGGGUGACACCUGCCCGGUGCUGGAAGGUUAAGGAGAGGGGUUAGCGUAAGCGAAGCUCUGAACUGAAGCCCCAGUAAACGGCGGCCGUAACUAUAACGGUCCUAAGGUAGCGAAAUUCCUUGUCGGGUAAGUUCCGACCCGCACGAAAGGUGUAACGAUUUGGGCACUGUCUCAACCAGAGACUCGGUGAAAUUAUAGUACCUGUGAAGAUGCAGGUUACCCGCGACAGGACGGAAAGACCCCGUGGAGCUUUACUGUAGCCUGAUAUUGAAUUUUGGUACAGUUUGUACAGGAUAGGCGGGAGCCAUUGAAACCGGAGCGCUAGCUUCGGUGGAGGCGCUGGUGGGAUACCGCCCUGACUGUAUUGAAAUUCUAACCUACGGGUCUUAUCGACCCGGGAGACAGUGUCAGGUGGGCAGUUUGACUGGGGCGGUCGCCUCCUAAAGUGUAACGGAGGCGCCCAAAGGUUCCCUCAGAAUGGUUGGAAAUCAUUCGUAGAGUGCAAAGGCAUAAGGGAGCUUGACUGCGAGACCUACAAGUCGAGCAGGGACGAAAGUCGGGCUUAGUGAUCCGGUGGUUCCGCAUGGAAGGGCCAUCGCUCAACGGAUAAAAGCUACCCCGGGGAUAACAGGCUUAUCUCCCCCAAGAGUCCACAUCGACGGGGAGGUUUGGCACCUCGAUGUCGGCUCAUCGCAUCCUGGGGCUGUAGUCGGUCCCAAGGGUUGGGCUGUUCGCCCAUUAAAGCGGUACGCGAGCUGGGUUCAGAACGUCGUGAGACAGUUCGGUCCCUAUCCGUCGUGGGCGUAGGAAAUUUGAGAGGAGCUGUCCUUAGUACGAGAGGACCGGGAUGGACGCACCGCUGGUGUACCAGUUGUUCUGCCAAGGGCAUAGCUGGGUAGCUAUGUGCGGAAGGGAUAAGUGCUGAAAGCAUCUAAGCAUGAAGCCCCCCUCAAGAUGAGAUUUCCCAUAGCGUAAGCUAGUAAGAUCCCUGAAAGAUGAUCAGGUUGAUAGGUUCGAGGUGGAAGCAUGGUGACAUGUGGAGCUGACGAAUACUAAUAGAUCGAGGACUUAACCAU